rnacentral:rRNA from 1 species
GGGGCAAGCGUUGUUCGGAAUUACUGGGCGUAAAGGGCUCGUAGGUGGCCAAUUAAGUCAGACGUGAAAUCCCCAGGCUUAACCUGGGAACUGCGUCUGAUACUGGUUGGCUUGAAUUCGGGAGAGGGAUGCAGAAUUCCAGGUGUAGCGGUGAAAUGCGUAGAUAUCUGGAGGAAUACCGGUGGCGAAGGCGGCAUCCUGGACCGAGAUUGACACUGAGGAGCGAAAGCCAGGGGAGCAAACGGG